UACGUAGGGGGGCUAGCGUUGUCCGGAAUCAUUGGGCGUAAAGCGCGUGUAGGCGGUUCGGUAAGUCCGCUGUGAAAGUCGGGGGCUCAACCCUCGAAUGCCGGUGGAUACUGUCGAACUAGAGUGCGGAAGAGGCGAGUGGAAUUCCUGGUGUAGCGGUGAAAUGCGCAGAUAUCAGGAGGAACACCAAUUGCGAAGGCAGCUCGCUGGGACGUAACUGACGCUGGAGACGCGAAAGCGUGGGGAGCAAACAGG
rnacentral:rRNA from 1 species